UCUUAUGGAGGAGCAAAGAAAGCGGUUUCUUGGUAUGGAAUCUACUCCUGGUGAAGAUGCUGUGAA
rnacentral:pre_miRNA from 1 species